GGAUCCCUAGUUGUAAACUAAAGUUGUGUCCUCCACUGGUAGGGAAGCAAGCAUGAAAAGUUGGAACAGGAGGAGCCCCGAAUAUCAGGACAGUCCCUCUAAAAUCAGGACAUCUGGUCACCCUAUCCACUGGCUGAAACACUGGAAAAGAGAUCUCACCAAGAGAGAAGACAGAAAUGGUUGUCUAUUAUGGGUCAAAAUUGUUGAUGCCAGCUCAUAGUAGAGGGUCCAAACUAUUUGCCAAUGAGGUCUCUCAAAGCCAAAGAACAGAAGACCAGGGAUGCUAUUGGUUUGAAGUUGCAAACAGAACUGAGAAAGGAGAGUGACCAAGCAGAUGAGAGGAAUCCAAGGAGACAGAAGUUUGAGGAGGAAAAAGAUAGAUACUAGUGGGAUGUUGGCACCAAGACAGAUGAUGCAAAAUCAGAAGGAACAGCAAGCAAUCAGAAGAAAGGCAACUGGAUAACAAAGGACUGUAAUAAUGGUCAUUUAAAUGGCACCACUCCGAUGGGAGAGAUCAUUGGGUUUUGCCAAAUUUUCUGGGGCCAGUGACAUUUUACUAGGCCGUUAGACCAGCUCCAAGAUAGUGACUGUGGGCAGCUUCUAUUUAUCCAAUAUAAUCUAUUUUAAGUCUUUCUGAGGUGCCCAUCACCAUGAUAUCUAAGUAUACUACAACAACUCUCUUCUCCAGUUGGAGCUCAAAAAGGAUUUUUAGUACUUACUUAUAAUUCUAUAUGCUUCAAAGUGUAAAAACAGCAAACACCUUCUAAACAUCUAUUACUGACCUAAUUGGUUGGGGCAUGGCUUCCAUUUUGGAAUAGUUAUGUGGUGGUCCCAAGGCUUCAAUGGACUUUGGAUAAGUCCUUUGUAAUGGAAAGUGCUCUUGCUAUCAAACAUAGGCUAAAAUUCAGUGGUGGCAAAGAAUGAGCCACUUGGCAGCAAAUUCUGAGACAAGAAUUCUGUUAAAUUGGAAAAGGUCCAGUGUUGUCAGUUAUACUUCUGUAAGUCAGUGGGGUUGCACAAGUUGAGAAUCAAGCUUGAGGUUUUAAUUAAAAUCACGUACUUAAGAUUUCUGCUGGCAGCCAGAAUACUACUCAACAGUGACAUCAUUGAUAUUUACAACUCCAUGGGGCAGCAACCAAGAUCAAGGCUCAUAGCUAGCUUUUGUGAUGGUCUGUCAGUCAGAAAUACUCUGCAAGUAAGAUUAAAUGUGUACUCGUGAUUAGAACCCAGCUGCUGUGUUUCCAUAUUUGCAUAAAGUGGAAUUAGAGAGAUUCUUUAAAAGAUAACCUAGGAUUUGCACAAAGGCACACUAUGCUUUAUUGUAACUUGAGAAAAAGAGAUUAAAAGCAGCAAACACAUUGGGGCAAAAUUCUUCUCUUGGUUCUACCCAUGCAAUUCUACCCAAAUCAACGGGUUUUGAUUGGUACAAAUGAGAGCAGAAUCUGGUCCACUGUAUA